AGCAGCUGGCAAAGGUCAUCUGACAUAAUAGCUGAUGAAUUCAAGCCCAGUGGAUUUCAUUUGCAAUUUUCAAUUUACGGAGGCCUCCAAGCCCCACGGUGAUAAAAGCUUUCCCCCUAUCGUGGCCUGUCACAAACAUCAAGAAACGGCACAAACCCCCAAGAAAGAGAAAAGAGAGAGCGGUGCAUCGUCCCAGUUACAGAUAAGAACAGUGAGCAGGGGGCUCCGGGAGGGAAGGUGGAGCCGCGUGUGUGGCUGCCUCCACCGUGAAGAACAAUCAAACGGCUGCCGGGGAGUAACAUCAUGUUUCUCUGCAGCUUUUGUGUGAAAAUUGCCUUUUAAUCUGCUACUUGACAUGCCCCCAAACAAAAAUGUGAGUGUCCAUAUGCAAAUAGAAAUGGGAGAUCCCCUGAUUGAUCUCCCAAGUCCAAAGGACGGAUACAACAACAAUGCCUAAGUGGGUCAAGACACAGCGCAUAUGGGAGAGGAAUUACCAAGAGGAAGACAGCCAUUUUUUUUUCUUUCUCGCUCCUUGUCAAGCUUCUGACAGGGACUUUAGGCAGGACCAGGGACUCUUGUUCUCAGCAACCAUUGGAACUUGAAGAGAGCAUAG
rnacentral:lncRNA from 1 species